UACGUAGGGAGCAAGCGUUGUUCGGAUUUACUGGGCGUAAAGGGCGCGUAGGCGGCUUUUUAAGUCAGGGGUGAAAUCCUGGAGCUCAACUCCAGAACUGCCCUUGAUACUGAGAAGCUUGAGUCCGGGAGAGGUGAGUGGAACUGCGAGUGUAGAGGUGAAAUUCGUAGAUAUUCGCAAGAACACCAGUGGCGAAGGCGGCUCACUGGCCCGGUACUGACGCUGAGGUGCGAAAGCGUGGGGAGCAAACAGG
rnacentral:rRNA from 1 species